GGUUGGGGAGGGUGACAGCCAUGGAAUCUGAAGGACUGGGGAAGACAGAGGGGAGCAGCCCAGUCUGGAAUGGGCUGAAAGAGAAGUUGUGUCCCUGUGGCAGCAAUUCUCCUCUUUGCCUUCAAGAGAAGGAAGGAGCCAGCAUCUUCUCACCUUGAUAACUUUUUGCUCCACUUACUCAAGACUACACUUAGCAUUUCUACAGAGCUUUUCAGACACUAAGUCCUACAUCACCUUCGAGAGCCACAGAAACCCCUGAGUGAUGCAUUACACUAUCAUCUGUUUAAAAUGCUCUUCUCUCGACAUCACUGAGAUGCACAGCGCUGUACACCUGCCUACUUCUGAUGACCAAUGACAUAAACAAGGAAGAAAAAAGGAGCAUUAUAUCAGUAAUCACUGGAUCUGAAGGGAAAAAAAAAAAAAAAAAACAAACAAGAACAAACCACUAAACAACAAAAUCCGCCAUUAAAAGAAUUGCUGGUAUUACUAUAUGAA